GAUGAAGAACGCAGCAAAAUGCGAUAAGUAAUGUGAAUUGCAGAAUUCAGUGAAUCAUCGAAUCUUUGAACGCACCUUGCGCUCUUUGGUAUUCCGAAGAGCAUGCCUGUUUGAGUGUCAUGAAAAUAUCAACCUUGACUUGGGUUUUGUGCUCUAGUCUCGGCUUGGAAUUGGGUGCUUGCCGCUUUAACGAGCGGCUCACCUUAAAUGUAUUAGCUGGAUCUGUCUUUGAGACUUGGUUUGACUUGGCGUAAUAAGUAUUUCGCUAAGGACAUUCUUCGGAGUGGCCUCGUUUCUAGGACGCUUGUCCGCUUUCCAAUACAAGUUCCACCUCGUGGACAUGACUUUUUAUUAUCUGGCCUCAAAUCAGGUAGGACUACCCGCUGAACUUAAGCAUAUCAAUAAGCGGAGGA
rnacentral:misc_RNA from 1 species